UAUUAUCUGCUUAAACCUGAAACCUGGGAGUCAUCCCCAACCUCUCCCUCAUACUGCAUUUAUUAGUAAAUCAUGCUGAUUCUGCCUCCAAAGUUACACAAGCUUUCAGGACCACUUCUAGAAGCAGGCCAUAUGAUACUUCAUCCUGUAGACACCAUUUCAUUUCUUUGAUUUUUCUGGUGAAUGGACAGGGAAGUUUCUAUUUCUAAUUCUGUGCUUCCCCAAAUGAAAUUUUAUUCCAGGGUUCUCAUAUCAAUUUUCUCCAAGUGCAUUUCCCAAAUUUGCAAGGACCGUGGUUGCCAAUAGUCUUCAGAGACCCUGAGCAGACCUGGGAACCUGUAGAUGAAUUGCUUAGUCAUGUCUAUGGAUAUUUGAACCUUGCAAACUCCAUCCUCUUUCCUACUCUAGGAACCAAAUUCCUUCACCUGGAUUUAUGGUGAAAGAAUCCAAACAGUGAUUGUCCAGCUUCAGGGGGCUCAGAAAAAUGUUUAUUACUUGCUAUGAAUUUUUCCCACCUAUUUAAUCUCACAAAUCUUUGUCACGAGUUUCUAGUAUUUUCUCCAUACCUUCCUAGACUAAUAAAUACCACUUUUAAAAAAGAAAAACAAAGCAACCACCCUUAUAUUGGUACUUGGCAGAGAAGGGUUGAAGUCGAGGAAAGGAGAACAUGCAGGGCAGAAAAAUUUCGAUAAGCAUCACAUGAAGCUUCCUGGCAGGGAAGUCUAUUUGCUGUGGAAUUGGAAAAUGUUGGAAGUGCUAUCCCUAGAGACAGUGGUUGAGGUCUAUGGAUGAAAAACAAGAUGUAAAUAGUAUUCAAAACAGACCCACUUAGAUAGCCAUUAAUCCAUUUGCUUCACAGGAUCUCUUUAUCUCAGAAGUGUAAACAUUCAUAAAGUCAAAAAAUUGAUCUUAGUACUUAGAACUCAGGUUUCCCACCUUACAAAGAGUAUUUAUGACACACAAAAAAUCACUUUUGUAAUAAAACUUCUAUCCAGAGCCACAGGGUUUUAGAAUGUUAGAACUAGAAGGAUCUUCCUUAGAGUGUCUAGCCUACCCAGUCAUUUUCUAGAUGGGUAAACUGAGGCCUAAAAAAUGGAAGGAACUUGCUCAGUGGAAGACGGACAACUGGCAGACCUAAACCCAGGGCCUCGCACAGCAAUCCCUUUUUCUCUACAUCCUGGCCACAUGGGCUCAUAUUUGUACAAUUAAUGAGACCAUUUGCUAUUUGUUACAUUUAUAGAAAUUUAAACUAUUGUGAAAAACAAACAAUAAAACAGGAAAGGGACCACAGUCUCUGCAAACGCUUUCUUCAUUAGACUUCAACUAAUAGCCCCCUUUUCCUUUUAUUCUAAGGCCUUAUUGACAGUUGAUUGCUGAACAGUUUUUUUAACCCAAUCUUAUUUUGCUUUAUUUCAUCCUUGAUUGCAUUCAGCUUUUCUCUCCAGCAGCCACUUCUUAACUACUACCAUUUUGUAAGCUUCCCUGCUGCUCUAAGGCUGUCAUUGCAACUGAUUAAUUUCAUUAGCACAAUGAUGCACUUAAGCAGGACUAACCCAUCUCUUUUGUGAUCUGGAGUCACAGACAGAGUAUUUGCAGGAGGAGGUAGCUGUUUAGAUGCCAGAUGAGAAGAGAAAAAUAUAAGGACCUUUGCUUGUAUUUCUUUAAGUAAAAUGUUCACUACCUCCCAGGUCCUUGAGGAACUCAGCUAAGGUGUUCAUCUACAAAAUCAGAAUCUUAUUGUUUUGCAAGUGCUUUGUUUAUCCUGGUAGUUGGGAACAUGACUUUCAGUCUAUCAUUUGUCAAGUGAAGAGGAGACAGAAGGGCACUAACAUUUAUUUAAUAUCUACUAAGUGCCAGAUGCUAUGUUAGUAGGCCUUUUAUCAUCAAAUUAAGUGCCAGCUUCACAAUGAUAAAUCCUUUGCUACUCAGGAAAGCGUUUUAACUAGGACGUACAAUUCCCUGAGAUCAUGUCACUGUUUCAAUCCCCAGCUUCUACCCAUGCAAGUUAACAAACCAUACUAAAAGAUGAGAAAGGGAAAUGAGAUAAAAACUCAAGGUUUAGAAGUAAGAGCACUACCACAGAACCCCUCCCCCACCAAGUAAAGUGAACAUCAAAUGCAGGCAAGUUUAUUACUACUUUCUGAAAAGUUUGCAGACUUCUCAGAAAUAUGGCAUAGCAGAAAGCACUCUGGGCUUAAAGACCAGUGUUCUAGUCACAACUCAACUGCUGACCAGACUAGCAAUGUUGGUAGGGCUUGUCCUCCCUCUGGGGCUCAGUUUCCCCAUUUGAAAAGGCUGUGCCUUUCAGAGUUCUUUUAGGAGUCAAAUGGCAGAGGUUGUGGAGUUACGUUUUGGAGAAAGACUGUGAAGCUAACUCUACUCUGAGCUUCCUACCCUUGCUUUAAUCAAGACAUCAUUUUUUGUAUAUCUUUUAGAUAGUGGAGUUCCAAGAAAUAUUUCAUGUUAACAAGGCUAGAAAAGUUUGAAAAUCAUUUGAUUAAAGGAUGUCUACAGUUCUUUUCAGUUCUGUGUCCUGUGGUUCUGUGAUUUUUGAAAAUCCAGCUGUUGAUUGUCCAGUCCUUGGGGCUACAAGAGGGAGCUAAGAUUCUAGAAUAUGUGCUUUCACUUUUAACUCCAUUUGUUUUCAUUCUUCUGCUCUUGAAGACCCAUUUUAAAUAUACUUGCCUUGCUGCUAUUUAUUUCAUAAAAGCACAUCCUAAACCAUUAUUGUUUGAUUAUUUCUUUCUAUAGAGAAAACAACACCUUUGUUUCUCCUAAAGAGUAAUUACAUGGCUUAGGGAAAGCUAUAUUUUUAAAUUAGAGAUGGGGAAAAAAAUCCAACCACUGCUGAAAUUGUUUGGAGAGAGACAAUAACCUUUCUAGACCGUAAGCCCUGGGUGAGAGGAGGGACUCUGAUAUAUGGACUAACCAACAGAGUGCCAAAUUCAAGAUCUCCUUGACUCAUUCAUUCCUAUAUGAAUCCCAAGUAUCCAUAUGGUAUUUCCUUCAUAUUUUAUUGUAGGACAAGCCAGAACAGACAGAGAUUUGUUUGGUAUUAAUAGCAUCAGCCAAACUUGAUCAGAAGAAUAUGGGUGUGGAGUGUAUGCUUGCUCAAAAACCUCCGGGUUUUUCUAGCCAGUCCAGAGUCGGGGUGCUCCAGGGUUCUAGGGCUAGGUAGGCCAUCAUUCGCACAAGUCCUAAACUGCUCCUCUCUUAGCUGAGAGAAUCAGUUAGCAGUUCUGGUGCUUUUCCAUCAAGCCUGAGUGCAAAAUUAUUUUAAGACAAUCUUUUUUGAAAGUCUGGGUUUUGGUGCCUUUUUUCCACUGUCCUAAAGCUAUAUAUAAAUUCUUCCCUCUUCCUAGGACUAUCUAGUGGAUUUUGGUGCUCUAGAAACAGAUUAGAUUUUCUUAAAAUAACUUAAGCAAAAAUAUUUCAAUGGAAUUCCCCAAGCUAUCAACUUAAUUUUAAUGUAUUUGUUAUUUAAUCUAUUUUAAGAAACAUUAGUCUUCCUUAUUAUAAAUAGCACCAAAACACCAACAUUAAUUGAAACCUUGAGAAAAGAAGAAAAUAUUACUUAUCCAUUCCCUUUCUCUGACCCACUUUUCAUUUCGUGCCUUGUCUUGCAGUCAGUGUACACAAAUAUUUUUAUGAUUGCUUUAACUAGAGUAUAGAUAUAGUUUCUAAAAUUCUGCUCUAUUCACUCUCCCCUCAUGAGACUCCCGUUGUGUGUAUGUUAGCAUGCUUGAUUAUAUUCUACAGGUCGCUGAUGCCUUGGUCACUGUUCUUCCUUUUGCAAGUCAAGAAGAGAGCCCUCACCAAAAUACAACCCUGACAGACCUUGAUCUGAGAAUUCUAGCCUCCAAAACCAUGAGAAAUACAUUUCUGUUAUUUGAGCUACCCAAUCCAUAGUAGUUUGUUCUGGCAACCUGAGCUCCCUAGCCUUUGAUAGUUUCCCCACAAAUAUGCAUUUAGUACUUUGCUGAAUCCUUGAGGGUGACCCUCUGCCGAUCUCCAGGUUUCGCUCACUGUAUCGCUUUCUCUUCUCUGGCAUUUCUGAUCUGAGAAUGCUAGCUGCCUUGGGCUUCCUGGACUCUCCUUUCUGUUUCCUCAACUCAAGUUUACUAGGCUCUGCCUGAGUUUCCUUUUCUGUCCUAUGGCCUGGAAACUCUCAAGACAGUAAGCUGGGCCUGUUGUGGAGCUUGUCUUGUUUAUUUCUGAUCUCUCACUGUCCUUCAUUGUCUGAUGUUUCCAGUCUUUCAAAUACCAUUUUCAAAAAAUAUAUUUUCCUGGUUUUUAUUGUGUUUUGUUUUUGGUGGUUUCAUGUGGUGAGGUAAAUCUAGUCCUUGUUACUCCAUCUUGACUGAAAGAAGAAGUCUUAUUUUUUUGAAGUUUUGAUUAAUUAAUAUUUGAAUAUCAUGCCCAUUUAUUUGAUCUUAUUGCCAAAUGAUAGAGAGGAAAUUACCCCACAUUUGUGGGGCAAAGUUUUCAAACUCAAGUUUUUCUACUUCUUUCUAGGUAGUCUAUAAAUUACUUAUUAACUCUUCCCUACGCAUGCGAAAAUUUUCCAUACAUCUCCAUGUCUUUGCAUGAACUGUCCUCUGGAAUUACCUUCACACUCUUAUCUUUACUGGAAACCUUAUUUUUCAGGCCACCACUCACAGAGGGUAAAGCCAUACUUCAGGCAUGUCUACAGGAAGAGUCCUUGUGGUUAUUGUUAUCAUUAUUAUUGUUACUAGAAAUGGCUAUAGCUACCACUUUUUAAGCAUUUAUUAUAUGCCAACAUCUAAUCCUCAUUACUGCACUCUAAAGUAAGCCUUGACAUGGUCCUUUUUUAAAAAAAAUCUAUAGCGGAAUUUAAGACUAAGAGAAGAUGUAUAACUUGCCCAAGGUCAAACAGCUAAAAAUAGUUGAACUAGAAUUCAAACCCAGGUUGGUCUGCUUCUUCACCAUAUGACUAACACUGAUCUCCUCUCUAAUGUGAUGGCAUAUUUCCAUACUUGUCUUUACCACUGUAAAGGAGCCUGUGUGCUCCUUGAAGGCAGGAGCCAUAUCUCACUUAUUUCUGUACUUUGAGCACAGAGCAUAAUUGUAGUACAUGGUAGGCACCCAUUAUAUAUGUUGACUGACUAACUAAACGAAUGAAUGUUUGCACCAGACAAAGGCUUGGUUUGAGGCAGAUGUAAGCACUGUACUGAGGCACAUGACAGAGGACCAGGCCAUGUGGCAGAACACCAAAGAAGUCUAGUCAGGAAGUGUUUCAUCCAAGAUAAAUAAAUUGUGAAAUCCAACACAGAUCACAAAACUUGCUUUAGGAGUAGACGUGCACUCAGAAUUUUACCUCAGUACUUCAGAGGUGAAGGUGGAAGAUAAAUUUCAUAUUUCAGAUCUGUCAGAGGGUUUAUAUGAUUUAAGAGAUAUAUGACCUUAAAGCUAAUCCUUAUCCUUUUGGCCUAAAAUUUCAAGUGAAGCUAAAUUUGAAAUGCCUUAAUAUAAUUCAGUGGAGGCCAGAAACCCUGAAAAACAUUCUGUUUCUUAUGACCUAAAUGUUGAAGGUAUUAUCCUUCUACCAUUGAGUUUUGGGAUAAAUUCCAUGUCUAUGAAAGCAUAGGAUUAAGAGACCGGGGACAGCACAAAUGGAUUGGCCUUCAUAAGCAGAAGGGUAUAUUUGGCCUCGAGUCAUGUGAUUGCUACAAGUUGGAAAUACCUUGGGUACUUUACAUGUUGCUUAUAGUGAACUGUGCCUGUAUCUCUGGGUGCAGAGAUUUAAGAGACUAAGGGUAGACUGGGUCAGUGAAGAAGGUAGACAUGAGAGGAUUCGGCUAUCCUGUACUGUCCAAAUCUGGCAGCACAAUAUGUCCAUUGACCUUGCAUUCUACCAAACUUUCUUUUGUGAUACUCUGGGAAUCACAAUAUAUUUCACAGGGUCAUAGCAUGUCAGAGCUGGAAAGGGCCUUAGAAGCUAUCUGGGAGUUCCCUUCCUGGCUCAGUGGUUAACAAACCCAACUAGUAACCAUGAGGUUGUAGGUUCGAUCCCAGGCCUCGCUCAGUGGGUUAAGGGUCUGGCAUUGCCGUGAGCUGUGGUGUAGGUCACAGAUGCAGCUCGGGUAUGGUGUUGCUGUGGCUGUGGCGUAGGCCGGUAACUGCAGCUCCAAUUCAACCCCUAGCCCAGGAACCUCUGUAUGCUGCUGGUGCGGCC
rnacentral:lncRNA from 1 species